GUGGGGAAUAUUGCACAAUGGGCGAAAGCCUGAUGCAGCAACGCCGCGUGAGGGACGACGGCCUUCGGGUUGUAAACCUCUUUUAGUAGGGAAGAAGCGAAAGUGACGGUACCUGCAGAAAAAGCACCGGCUAACUACGUGCCAGCAGCCGCGGUAAUACGUAGGGUGCAAGCGUUAUCCGGAAUUAUUGGGCGUAAAGAGCUCGUAGGCGGUCUGUCGCGUCUGCUGUGAAAACUGGAGGCUCAACCUCCAGCCUGCAGUGGGUACGGGCAGACUAGAGUGCGGUAGGGGAGAUUGGAAUUCCUGGUGUAGCGGGGGAAUGCGCAGAUAUCAGGAGGAACACCGAUGGCGAAGGCAGAUCUCUGGGCCGUAACUGACGCUGAGGAGCGAAAGCGUGGGGAGCGAACAGGAUUAGAUACCCCAGUAGUCC
rnacentral:rRNA from 1 species